AGCUUGGAGAGUUUGAUCCUGGCUCAGAACGAACGCUGGCGGCGUGCCUAACACAUGCAAGUCGAACGCGAAAGUCCUUCGGGAUGAGUAAAGUGGCGCACGGGUGAGUAACACGUAGGUGACCUGCCUUUUAGAGGGGAAUAACCAGAAGAAAUUUUGGCUAAUGCCGCAUACGAAGUACAAAUCUAAGAGUAGUACUUGAAAGGAUGCCUCUGUAUUUGCAUUCACUAAAAGAUGGGCCUGCGGUACAUUAGCUAGUUGGUGGGGUAAAGGCCUACCAAGGCAACGAUGUAUAUCCGGUCUGAGAGGAUGAUCGGACACACUGGAACUGAGACACGGUCCAGACUCCUACGGGAGGCAGCAGUGGGGAAUAUUGCGCAAUGGGGGAAACCCUGACGCAGCAACGCCGCGUGAGUGAGGAAGGACUUAGGUCUGUAAAGCUCUGUUAAUGUGGAAAAAUGGUAGCUGGUCUAAUAGGCCGGCUAUUUGAUGGUACACAUAGAGGAAGCACCGGCUAACUUCGUGCCAGCAGCCGCGGUAAUACGAAGGGUGCAAGCGUUGUUCGGAUUUAUUGGGCGUAAAGCGCGCGUAGGCGGACCUGUAAGUCAGAUGUGAAAUCUCGGGGCUCAACCUCGAAACUGCGUCUGAAACUGCAGGUCUAGAAUCUUGGAGGGGGAAGGGGAAUUUCGCAUGUAGGGGUAAAAUCCGUAGAUAUGCGAAGGAACACCAGAGGCGAAGGCGCCUUCCUGGACAAGUAUUGACGCUGAGGCGCGAAAGCGUGGGGAUCAAACAGGAUUAGAUACCCUGGUAGUCCACGCUGUAAACGAUGAAUACUAGGUAUUGGAGGAUUUGACCCCUACAGUGCCGUAGCUAACGCGUUAAGUAUUCCGCCUGGGAAGUACGGUCGCAAGACUAAAACUCAAAGGAAUAGACGGGGACUCGCACAAGCGGUGGAGCAUGAGGUUUAAUUCGA
rnacentral:rRNA from 1 species